AUUAUAAAGUGACGCUUUCACGCGAUACUGACGUUUCAGACCAUCGAAUAAGCGAAAUGGACGAUGCGUGCGACAAUGAGUCUCGCGGAAUGGCUGUGUACGACGAUAGGAGAAGUAAAAGUUGUAUAAAGGGAAUAAAAGCCGAUGCGCUCGCAACGUAUUCACGAGGCUCGAGUUCGCUCCUCUUCUGUACACAUCGGUGCCUUUUUAGAGCAGCUAAAGAAAAAUAAAUAAUUAAGCCUGGCUGGCUCUCUGUAUACGGCGUUACGGGCUGGUGAGCAUCGUGAGUUAUCCUAAGACGUAGUGUCCGAGGUGAUAUACAUUUACUUAUAAAGAUAUAUGCAAAUUGGAUUUUCAAUUAGUGUAAUAUUAUUCACCUCGGUACCAUAUCGGUUUUCCGUACUGACGUUUCAACAAUGAUUCUACAGCAACUGUCAACAGUAAAUGAUAUCAUAUUUCCAACUUCAUUCAAGUCUUGUAUCAGGAUGACAAUGGUUAUAAUCAUUCCAGCAGCUUGGAAUUCCUAAUAGCAGACAUCCCGUAUUCAUCGUUGUGUAUAUAUAUAUAUGAAUAAGAACAGUCUAACGUCCAUUUUGUUCGUUUAUGAUGAACGAUGUUAUAUUUACUAUCAUCCUGUUAUAUGUAUAUCUAGUGAAAAAUUGUAAUAUCUUCAAUAGCGAUUCGUAACGGUCUAACGAGCACGUGCUUCUCGAGCGAGACAAAUCUACUGGCGAAACUGGCCUGGAAUUGAAUAUAAGAAAUAGACUAUCCUAUAGGAAAAAAUAUAUGGAUAAUAUAACCUGUACGGGUUUUUGAUAAUCGUAGAAGCAGAUCCAGUGACUCUUGUUGAGUAAAUGAAUUACAAUGAAUGGGAUACAUGAUGGGAGAAUGAAGUGUUGAAUAAAUGUAAUAAUUAUUGUCUACUAGCGAUAGCGAUAUUUUAAAGAAAAGAAUAAGUGCAAAUAACGUCUACACGAAGAAUUCCGUUCAGAGUUACGUUACGCAAUUUCAGCUCGGCCAAUUAAACGCACUCGCGUACGCAGUAGGCGGACAGUCAGCGUAAAAGCGGUCUUAAAGCAUGUAUAUAUAUAUGUAUUAAAAGACGUAAUAAAGCAUCAGUCUAAGGUCGUGUGAUACGUA